UCCUUUCUACCAGGAUAUAAUUGAAGAAAUUUAUUGUGUAACCAAAUACUUAUUUGGAGUGUCAUGUUUGAUAACUCAUUUAACACUUUUGUGAUAAGAUCACAAUUCAGGAACAAAGGUAGCUCAUUCACAAGUGGAAUCAAUACCUAUAAAGCCCUCCUCUCACCUGCCAUUACACUUAUUAGUACUUGUCUGCCUCCCUACCUUUAAUUCUUUUCAUUUCCCACUGCUGGGCUUUCACCUCCAGGCCCCUCACCCACAACACACACACACAGGAGACAACAGGAACAGGAGAAAAAUAUUCUUUCUGUGAAUAUCUUUCUAAAUGCUCGAAGCUAGUCAUCUUACAAAAUUGGCCUG
rnacentral:lncRNA from 1 species